rnacentral:lncRNA from 1 species
CUCGCGAUCGUCAUUCUGAUUUUUCCGGAUAGUAAAAGAAACGUAAAUAGUGUGAAAGAGAGCUCAAAAUACAAUAAUUUCGCUAGAAACAGAAGGGAAAUGUGUAGAAAAGUGUUUAAAGUCAAUCUAUUCAUUUUUGUGUUUCCUUCUCAUCAAUCUCAGUAAGAUUUGUUGGGGGGUUUUCCACACUAUAAAAACAAAAUGAAUGAUGUGAGGGAAUGUCACUCUGGUCAACCCCAUAGGGGAUUGACGGCUUGAAGCCGUCUUUCCCCCAAAAAUAAUUCUGUAUCAAGUUAGUUAGUCGGAUAAAACAACCGUAUGAUUGACACGAUAUCGACACGCAAUUACGACUACAUUAGGCUACUGUGGUUUUGGUCCUUUGUGGUUCAUAGACAUAUCUUGGUUAAAAGCAGAGAGAGGAUGGUCAAAAUGGCGACAGGCAGAGAAUUGAUACUCUAAAUCUAAUAUUGAUGGUGAUCUCUUGUUUAGCAGAAUGAAACUUUAAUAUCUAUGAAUUUGAGCAUUUUUAUACAGAAUGGACAUAUCAAUUUUUUAUUUUUUUGCGGAGUUUUCCUUUAAGGGGUCAAUUGACCAUUUUGGUCAUCUUGACUUAUUUGUAAAUCUUACUUUGCUGAACAUUAUUGCUGUUUACAGUUUAUCUCUAUCUAUAAUAAUAUUCAAGAAAAUAACCAACCAGAUGCUCCGCAGGGCGCAGCUAUAUACGACCGCAGAUGUUGAACCCUGAACAGUUGGGGCAAGUAUGGACACAACAUUUAAGCUGGAUUCAGCUCUAAAUUUGGAUUGUGAUUAAAUAGUUGACACAGCAUAGGUUUC